UACUGGCGUGCUCUAGCCUCUGCACUGCUAGCCGCUCUUAAUUGCUGAACUGUCCGGCUGUUCGGACGAGACGUUUUGCAAGCCAGAGAAAUUGGUACCCCAAAUUCAUUGCGGGUGUACUACAUUACCACUCCGAUGGAGAAACUGAGAUCCGGUUGACUUAAAGACCGGAGCGGGUGGGAGCUAGUGAAUCUUAUCUCUUCAGCAAGAACUAGAGCGGCGGAAGCGAGUUCUACGCAUCCGGUGGCCUCGCAUCAUCUUCCAAGGAAUCAAAUGAACUUGGUUAGAGGCCGCCAUGGAAAUGGCAGACCACAAGGUGUAGAUUUCGAAUCAAGUUCAUGUCUUAAUCGUUUUGGUGGUAGCCGCGAGUUGAAAGCGGAGGCGUUCGGUGAGCAUCUGGAAUCUGUAAGCUUAGAUGGAUGCAUAGUGAGGAGCAAUUACACGCCUGAUGCGAUAGGAUUAGCGAUGCAGAACUGGGGCGAAGAACAGAAAGCAUUAGUUCGUGCGAUGGGCCUUGGUGGGUUACUGCAUCUUCGGAAAACAGGGAAUUUUUUUAUCUCUUUCACACGAUCUCUGCUUGAUAGGAUCGACCCCAAUGACAGUACGAUGAGGCUGCCAGGCGGUGCGAAGUCGAUCUUGGGCGAGAUGGAGAUUUGCUCUUAUAUGGAUAUAAGGAGAGGAGGUUUGACACUGCAGAGGAACAACAACAGUCCAAGUGAUGAUCACUACAUGAGUGCUAGGUAUCUUCUGGGAAUGGCUCUGAUUCCACAAGAGAUCACUAUGAACGAUGUAGUUAGUAUACUACAAGAACACGUGGACUCGCCGAUGACUUGAGAGCAGAGGAUUAAGACGGAGGUGGGAACGGCCAUGCUUGCUGUUUCCGUUGUAUUUGGACCACGAGAUGGUCGCAACCACGUGACAAAUGAUGUAUACCGGCUUGUCGAAGAACCAUCCAAACUUAGUGUUUGGAACUAUAGUAGAUAUGCUCUAGAGGAGUAAUGCGAGGUGCCCUGUGCCUGGCAGAGUCCAAACGAAAAGGAGAGCAAAACGUUUGGCUAUAUGGAUGCCCAACUAUUUUGCAGAUACACUACUUCAACUCGGUUGAUACCGGUUAUCUCACCAUCGAUACAACAAAGCAAGCCGCGGUUAAGCUGUAUUCAACUUCUGUAGUGAGAACUUUCAUCGAAGCAGAUACCUUCGAAGAGGAUGGCCAGGUCAAGUAUGGAGGCUUGAAGGGCAAUGUUGCUUGUUCUGGAAAAGCUAUAGCUGCCGGUUGUAUACACUAUGAGACACUAUUAUACCUAAAAGGAAAGUUGAGAAUGUCUAUAUGUUAAAGGCAGAUUCAGUAUGUCAUGAGUUCAACGAGCUCAUGUCCAAGGAUCAUUCAAAUGAUGUUGGCAUGAUAAAGAGACGGAUAGAAGAGCAUGAUAUGGCACAGACUCUAUCGAGGCUUCAUGAAUGGAAAGAUAAUGACGCCAAAAUUGAAUCAGCCUUAAAAGGUAAAUGUGGAUGGAGCCCAGAUAUGCCACCACGCAUAUUAGAAGGUGUGGUUGUUAGUACAGAAGACUGUAAUGAUAUUGAAAAUUGGGAAAGGAAGAAAGUUGCAACAGGAUCUGCAAGUACAGAUGAGGACCAUGAUAUCAAAACAGUAGCAGAGGCACUUGCUGGGAUGAAAGCAGGUUUGUUUGGUGCUGGGUUAAGUGGGGCAUGUGGCUCUAGGCAAGGUACAUGCACACGUACAGCUGCAGUCAAUUCAACAAAGCAGACAUUGAUGGUACAACAAGCUAGUUCACUUACUGGAGAAAUAAACAAGGGCAGUAAGUUUGUGUUCUUGUUUACUGUUGAAGAUAAAGCAUCAUGUUCCAUAUGAUGUGCCUAAAAAAAUUGCAAUUACGAAAUCUAGUUGCAUUGAUUGGAGAUGAAAUUAAAACUAAUGAAGGUACACUUGAAGGAGAUGGCGGAAAACAAAAACCAGUGUUGAAAUUCUAUGUCAGGAGAUUGGCGAAAAACAGAGAUAUUUUUUUGGAUCGUGAAAGAACCAAUGAAAGCUGUACCGUUUUGUCUGAAAGUGUUAAGACAGACGAAAUGAACCCGAUACUAGCACAUGACGCAUUCAAGAAAAAUUCUUUGGGAGGUAAUAAUUUAAGUGAAGAGAGCAUUACAGCUGUUGCAGAUGCAGAUAUUGGGAAGAAGAGGUCAAUCUCUCAAAUAAAUCGACUGAUUGAAGUUUGUAAACGGCAACGUAUCGCCGCGAAGAUGGAUGUUCCAAUCAUAUCAAAUGGACUUAGCAAUGGUGGGUUAGGAGGACCUGGCGCCUACUUUUUAAGCAGUAGGAAAGUACUGAAGGAUUCUAUAGAGCAGCUGGAGAAUACAAAGGGAAUGGAACUAAGGAGGAUCUGGAUUGAGCAUCCUAUACCUGUUGUGCUGCAAAUUACUGGAACUGAGAUAUAUGCAAUGAUUAAACCUGGAGGAGAAGUUGGUGCAAGACAAUUUGAUAUUUUCCGUAGGCUUGUGUAUUGUCAGGAUAAGAAGUUAUAUGCUCCUAGGUCAAUUUUGAGGCUGAGGAAGGUUCUUCAUCUAAGCUGGGCGGAGAGAGUGCUUAAUGGUGCAGCCGUAUAGAUUAAUGAUGAAAUAAAAGCAAGUUUGGUUGGUUUGAACGGAAAAUUUGAUUUGAGGACUUGCAAUAUGAUAAUGGUUCCAGACAGAUCUGUAGAGGGGUAUUACGUUCUGUUGUCUUCAAUAUGUUUACUCAUGUGGUCUAUGUGUUUGAUCCAGCAAGCUCAUGGUAGCUUGAGACAACAUUGGAGAAGAAGCACUGGGCAAAAUAUAUGUUGUUGCUUAAUGGGAUGUCGUCCUUGAUAUCUGAGUUAUACCCCGGCUAUCAUGUUGAUGCUUCUAAAUGGAAAAUGAAAUGCCAUAAAGUGUUGGCGGACCGGGUGAAGAGGGGUGAUACUGCAUUCUAUGUUUUACUCAUCAUAUUGAGCUUCAAUGGGCAAGAGAUAAAGCACAUUCUUAACACGAAUUCUCUGGCAUUAUUCAAGCUUAAUGUGCCACAUUCAAGUUUCCCAAGGGAAAUCAUACCAUGUUAAAUUCUGAGUUACCUAAGUUAUUUAACUGGUAGAGCGGCAACAAGUCGUGGUAUUGUAAUGAAUGUCAUACUACUUAUUAUUUAAGACAUAUAUGGAUUGUUUUAAAUUAGUUAAGCUCUAUGAAGAAUGUGGGAUAUAUUUCGUAAGCUUAAAUUCGACAAGUACUA